UCAAGUGAAGAAGCGCAUACGGUGGAUGCCUUGGCAGUCAGAGGCGAUGAAAGACGUGGUAGCCUGCGAAAAGCUUCGGGGAGUCGGCAAACAGACUGUGAUCCGGAGAUGUCUGAAUGGGGGAACCCAGCCAUCAUAAGAUGGUUAUCUUGUACUGAAUACAUAGGUGCAAGAGGCGAACCAGGGGAACUGAAACAUCUAAGUACCCUGAGGAAAAGAAAUCAACCGAGAUUCCCUUAGUAGUGGCGAGCGAACGGGGACCAGCCCUUAAGUUGUAUUGAGAUUAGCGGAACGUUCUGGAAAGGACGGCCAUAGUGGGUGAUAGCCCUGUACGCGAAAAUCCCUUUGCAAUGAAAUCGAGUAGGACGGGGCACGAGAAACCUUGUCUGAAUAUGGGGGGACCAUCCUCCAAGGCUAAAUACUACUGACUGACCGAUAGUGAACCAGUACCGUGAGGGAAAGGCGAAAAGAACCGCGGAGAGCGGAGUGAAAUAGAUCCUGAAACCGUAUGCGUACAAGCAGUGGGAGCCCACUUGUUGGGUGACUGCGUACCUUUUGUAUAAUGGGUCAGCGACUUAUUUUCAGUGGCGAGCUUAACCGAAUAGGGGAGGCGUAGCGAAAGCGAGUCUUAAUAGGGCGUCUAGUCGCUGGGAAUAGACCCGAAACCGGGCGAUCUAUCCAUGGGCAGGUUGAAGGUUGGGUAACACUAACUGGAGGACCGAACCGACUACCGUUGAAAAGUUAGCGGAUGACCUGUGGAUCGGAGUGAAAGGCUAAUCAAGCUCGGAGAUAGCUGGUUCUCCUCGAAAGCUAUUUAGGUAGCGCCUCAUGUAUCACUGUAGGGGGUAGAGCACUGUUUCGGCUAGGGGGUCAUCCCGACUUACCAAACCGAUGCAAACUCCGAAUACCUACAAGUGCCGAGCAUGGGAGACACACGGCGGGUGCUAACGUCCGUCGUGAAAAGGGAAACAACCCAGACCGUCAGCUAAGGUCCCAAAGUCAUGGUUAAGUGGGAAACGAUGUGGGAAGGCUUAGACAGCUAGGAGGUUGGCUUAGAAGCAGCCACCCUUUAAAGAAAGCGUAAUAGCUCACUAGUCGAGUCGGCCUGCGCGGAAGAUGUAACGGGGCUCAAACCAUGCACCGAAGCUACGGGUAUCAUCUUUUGAUGAUGCGGUAGAGGAGCGUUCUGUAAGCCUGUGAAGGUGAGUUGAGAAGCUUGCUGGAGGUAUCAGAAGUGCGAAUGCUGACAUGAGUAACGACAAUGGGUGUGAAAAACACCCACGCCGAAAGACCAAGGUUUCCUGCGCAACGUUAAUCGACGCAGGGUUAGUCGGCCCCUAAGGCGAGGCUGAAAAGCGUAGUCGAUGGAAAACAGGUUAAUAUUCCUGUACUUCUGGUUAUUGCGAUGGAGGGACGGAGAAGGCUAGGCCAGCCUGGCGUUGGUUGUCCAGGUUUAAGGUGGUAGGCUGAGAUCUUAGGUAAAUCCGGGAUUUCAAGGCCGAGAGCUGAUGACGAGUGUUCUUUAGAACACGAAGUGGUUGAUGCCAUGCUUCCAAGAAAAGCUUCUAAGCUUCAGGUAACCAGGAACCGUACCCCAAACCGACACAGGUGGUUGGGUAGAGAAUACCAAGGCGCUUGAGAGAACUCGGGUGAAGGAACUAGGCAAAAUGGCACCGUAACUUCGGGAGAAGGUGCGCCGGUGAGGGUGAAGCAUUUACUGCGUAAGCCCACGCCGGUCGAAGAUACCAGGCCGCUGCGACUGUUUAUUAAAAACACAGCACUCUGCAAACACGAAAGUGGACGUAUAGGGUGUGACGCCUGCCCGGUGCCGGAAGGUUAAUUGAUGGGGUUAGCGCAAGCGAAGCUCUUGAUCGAAGCCCCGGUAAACGGCGGCCGUAACUAUAACGGUCCUAAGGUAGCGAAAUUCCUUGUCGGGUAAGUUCCGACCUGCACGAAUGGCGUAACGAUGGCGGCGCUGUCUCCACCCGAGACUCAGUGAAAUUGAAAUCGCUGUGAAGAUGCAGUGUAUCCGCGGCUAGACGGAAAGACCCCGUGAACCUUUACUAUAGCUUUGCACUGGACUUUGAAUUUGCUUGUGUAGGAUAGGUGGGAGGCUUUGAAGCGUGGACGCCAGUCUGCGUGGAGCCAACCUUGAAAUACCACCCUGGCAACUUUGAGGUUCUAACUCAGGUCCGUUAUCCGGAUCGAGGACAGUGUAUGGUGGGUAGUUUGACUGGGGCGGUCUCCUCCUAAAGAGUAACGGAGGAGUACGAAGGUGCGCUCAGACCGGUCGGAAAUCGGUCGUAGAGUAUAAAGGCAAAAGCGCGCUUGACUGCGAGACAGACACGUCGAGCAGGUACGAAAGUAGGUCUUAGUGAUCCGGUGGUUCUGUAUGGAAGGGCCAUCGCUCAACGGAUAAAAGGUACUCCGGGGAUAACAGGCUGAUACCGCCCAAGAGUUCAUAUCGACGGCGGUGUUUGGCACCUCGAUGUCGGCUCAUCACAUCCUGGGGCUGAAGCCGGUCCCAAGGGUAUGGCUGUUCGCCAUUUAAAGUGGUACGCGAGCUGGGUUUAGAACGUCGUGAGACAGUUCGGUCCCUAUCUGCCGUGGACGUUUGAGAUUUGAGAGGGGCUGCUCCUAGUACGAGAGGACCGGAGUGGACGAACCUCUGGUGUUCCGGUUGUCACGCCAGUGGCAUUGCCGGGUAGCUAUGUUCGGAAAAGAUAACCGCUGAAAGCAUCUAAGCGGGAAACUUGCCUCAAGAUGAGAUCUCACUGGAACCUUGAGUUCCCUAAAGGGCCGUCGAAGACUACGACGUUGAUAGGUUGGGUGUGUAAGCGCUGUGAGGCGUUGAGCUAACCAAUACUAAUUGCCCGUGAGGCUUGACCA
rnacentral:rRNA from 1 species